CAGAUGUGAAAGACCCGGGGCGUCAACCUCGGAAUUGCAUUUGUAAACUAGGCAGACUAGAGUACUGUAGAGGGGGGUAGGAAUUUCAGGUGUAGCGGUGAAAUGCGUAGAGAUCUGAAGGAAUACCGGUGGCGAAGGCGGCCCCCUCGGACAGAUACUGACACUCAGAUGCGAAAGCGUGGGGAGCAAACAGGAUUAGAUACCCUGGUAG
rnacentral:rRNA from 1 species